rnacentral:tRNA from 1 species
GGGCUUUUGGUCUAGUGGUAUGAUCCUCGUUUUGGGUACGAGGGGUCUCGGGUUCGAUUCCCGAAAAGCCCC